rnacentral:sRNA from 1 species
CUUGCUUUGUCGCCCAGGCUGGAGUGCAGAGGCCCGAUCUCGGUUCACUGCAACCUCUGCCUCCCAGGUUCAAGCGAUUCUCCUGCCUCAUCCUCCCAAGUAAAUGGGAUUUCAGGCAUGCACCACCAUGCCCGGCUAAUUUUUGUAUUUUUAGUAGAGACGGGGUUUCAUCGUGUUGGUCAGGCUGGUCUUGAACUCCUGACCUCGUGAUCCGCCCGCCUCGGCCUCCCAAAGUGCUGGGAUUACAGGCGUGGGCCACCGCGCCCGGCCGGGAACAUCCUUUUCAUCCGGUCCAUGUCUUGCUUGUGCCUUGGUCUCUUGUGGACCGACAGCUGCUGUCUCCCUGGCCGGAUGCUGGGCCCUCUGCACCCACCAGCCGCGUUCUCCCCUCCCCGCCUCCCCGCCCCACCCCCCUGCAGUACCGCCCGGUGACCGCGCCCCUGUCCUGCAGACCGUGCAGUCCCUCGGCUUCGCCAUCUACCGCGCGCUGGACUGGGGGCUGGACGAGAGCGAGGAGCGCGAACUCAGCCCGCAGCUGGAGCGGCUCAUCGACCUCAUGGCCAACAACGACAGCGAGGACAGCGGCUGCGGUGCCGCCGAUGAGGGCUACGGGGGUCCCGAGGAGGAGGAGGAGGCCGAGGGCGUCCCCCGCAGCGUGCGCACCUUUGCCCAGGCCAUGCGGCUGUGCGCGGCGCGGCUGACCGACCCCCGGGGCGCACAGGCGCAUUACCAGGCCGUGUGCCGCGCGCUCUUCGUGGAGACGCUGGAGCUGCGGGCCUUCCUGGCCAGGGUCCGGGAGGCCAAGGAGAUGCUGCAGAAGCUUCGGGAGGACGAGCCGCAGCUGGAGACGCCGCGGGCAGAGCUGGACAGCCUGGGUCACACAGACUGGGCCCGACUGUGGGUUCAGCUCAUGCGGGAGCUCCGCCACGGAGUGAAGCUGAAGAAGGUGCAGGAGCAGGAGUUCAACCCCCUCCCCACCGAGUUCCAGCUCACGCCCUUCGAGAUGCUGAUGCAGGACAUCCGGGCCCGGAACUACAAGCUGCGCAAGGUCAUGGUGGAUGGGGACAUCCCGCCCCGGGUGAAGAAGGACGCUCACGAGCUCAUCCUGGACUUUAUCCGCUCACGGCCUCCACUGAAGCAGGUCUCUGAGAGGCGGCUGCGCCCGUUGCCACCAAAGCAAAGGUCCCUGCAUGAGAAGAUCCUGGAGGAGAUCAAGCAGGAGCGGAGGCUGCGCCCGGUGCGGGGCGAGGGCUGGGCUGCCCGCGGGUUUGGCUCUCUGCCCUGCAUCCUCAACGCCUGCUCCGGAGAUGCCAAGUCCACCUCCUGCAUCAACCUGUCGGUCACAGAUGCUGGGGGCAGCGCCCAGCGCCCGCGGCCCCGCGUGCUGCUCAAGGCGCCUACCUUGGCCGAAAUGGAAGAGAUGAACACAUCUGAGGAAGAAGAGUCUCCGUGUGGGGAGGUGACGCUGAAACGGGACCGCUCCUUCUCAGAGCAUGACCUGGCCCAGCUCCGAAGUGAGGUGGCCUCUGGCCUGCAGUCGGCCACCCAGCCCCCAGGAGGGACGGAGCCACCACGGCCCCGAGCCGGCAGUGCGCAUGUGUGGAGGCCCGGCUCCCGAGACCAGGGUACCUGUCCCGCGAGUGUCUCUGACCCCAGCCACACCCUACUCAGCAACCGGGGCUCCUCGGGGGACAGACCCGAGGCCUCCAUGACCCCCGAUGCCAAACACCUGUGGCUGGAGUUCAGCCACCCCGUGGAGAGCCUGGCGCUGACUGUGGAAGAGGUGAUGGACGUGCGCCGUGUGCUGGUGAAGGCCGAGAUGGAAAAGUUUUUGCAGAACAAGGAGCUCUUCAGCAGUCUGAAGAAGGGGAAGAUUUGCUGCUGCUGCCGGGCCAAGUUCCCGCUGUUCUCGUGGCCGCCCAGCUGUCUCUUCUGCAAGAGAGCCGUCUGCACUUCCUGUAGCAUAAAGAUGAAGAUGCCUUCUAAGAAGUUUGGACACAUCCCUGUCUACACACUGGGCUUUGAGAGUCCUCAGAGGGUAUCAGCUGCCAAAACCGCGCCAAUCCAGAGAAAAGACAUCUUUCAGUCUCUGCAGGGGCCACAGUGGCAGAGCGUGGAGGAGGCGUUCCCCCACAUCUACUCCCACGGCUGUGUCCUGAAGGAUGUCUGCAGUGAGUGCACCAGCUUUGUGGCAGACGUGGUGCGUUCCAGCCGCAAGAGCGUGGACGUCCUCAAUACUACGCCACGACGCAGUCGCCAGACCCAAUCCCUCUACAUCCCUAACACCAGGACUCUUGACUUCAAGUGACAGCCCCAGGUGGCCAGGCCUCCAGGAGGCACCAGGCAGGCCCUGUAUCAGGCUAGGACGCUCUGAGCUGUGCAUGUACAUAUAUACAUAUAUAGAUACAUUUAUAAUAUAUAC